rnacentral:rRNA from 1 species
UACGGAGGGGGCUAGCGUUGUUCGGAAUUACUGGGCGUAAAGCGCACGUAGGCGGCUUUGUAAGUUAGAGGUGAAAGCCCAGGGCUUAACCCUGGAAUUGCCUUUAAGACUGCAUCGCUAGAAUCGUGGAGAGGUGAGUGGAAUUUCCGGUGUAGCGGUGAAAUGCGUAGAUAUCGGAAGGAACACCUGUGGCGAAAGCGGCUCACUGGACCACAACUGACGCUGAGGCACGAAAGCUAGGGGAGCAAACAGG